rnacentral:piRNA from 1 species
UCUAAAUUCACACGGAGGAAAGAGG